rnacentral:rRNA from 1 species
CGUGAGCGGCGGACGGGUGAGUAACGCGUGGGUAACCUGCCUCAUACAGGGGGAUAACAGUUAGAAAUGACUGCUAAUACCGCAUAAGACCACGGUACCGCAUGGUACAGUGGUAAAAACUCCGGUGGUAUGAGAUGGACCCGCGUCUGAUUAGGUAGUUGGUGGGGUAACGGCCUACCAAGCCGACGAUCAGUAGCCGACCUGAGAGGGUGACCGGCCACAUUGGGACUGAGACACGGCCCAA